GGAGCUUCAGGUUCAUCCUCAUCCUCGAGGGAAAACCUGAGGGCCCAGCCAAGGUCCCACAAGUUGAUGCGAGCCCCUCUGCAGGGUGAACCUGCACUCAGUGCCACCCAGGAAGCCACCAGUCAGGAGCGGGCACAGAGUCUCUGGAAGGAACUCCAGGAGACAGUGUGGCCUCCACAGUGUGAGGCAGCCAGGGAGAUGCAAACAGGUCUGCUGUAGAUGCUGCCGAUGAGACCCCCUCUUCCUAGCCAAGGCCUGCUGGAUAAGAGUGGCAUUUCCGUGGGUGACUUUAUCCCUCAGGAUCUGAGGCGUGCAGAUUUAUUGGCUGGCUUCCUUCUUACAGUUUCUCCUCAGCACACACUCAAGAGAUGCCAUCUGUCCCUCGAGAGGCUGUUGACCGAAAGAGGCUGAAGAGAGAUGUGGAGCCCACCUACAGUGGGACCAGCCUUGGGCCUGAUGAGAGCUUGGCCCAGAGCCCCCAAGUUCAUCAUUCACAAUGAUGCCUCAGAAACCCUCCCAGAGCCCCACACCCUCCAACAGAUGUCACCCUGGAGCCAGCCGUGGAAGAUGUGCAGGGUGAACACAGCGACACCGGCCCCCGGUCCCUCAGCGGGGUCAUCCUGUCAGCACUGGGGCCCAAGAACUCCUCGACUCGCUGCACUCCUACUGCUUCUGCUCCCCGGGGAACAGGAGCACAGGUGCCGCCUGCGGGAGCAGGUGGAGAAGGACAGCGAGCUGAAGAGGGGCAGCUGCCGACAGCCAGGUGCGCACUCUGCAGGAGGAGCUGGACGAGCUGAAGGGAGGGGGCUCCCUGCCUUAGCAGCCUGCUGCCCCCAGCCGAGUUUGGUGGCAGCAGUGGGAUCCAAAGGAGACGCCUGAUGGCUUCGAGGAUGAGAAACAGUCAUUGGUACCCGCAAAACCUUUGAGUUCUCCAUCUUUUUCGCUGUUUCUGAGGGCUGUGGGAGAUGAGCUGCCGUGACCCUCUUACCCUUGUCCGGUGUGAGCUUCUGGAGGCCACUGAGGCAGAGCCAGAUGCGUCAGCUGCAGAGCUCCAGCCAGCGGCAGAAGAAGAGUAGUGGGCAGUGGUGGAGGUAGAGCUGGCUCCAGCUCUGUUGACACCACCCCCUCUAGCACUGGAGCCAGUGUCCCCUCCACCAGCAGUGUUGGAGGUGGAGCAAGGGCCAACAUGGGCUCCAGCAGGAGUGGGAGCUGCUUAGCUGGAGUCACCUGGACCAUCAUUUCUAGUGAGAAGUCCAUCUCCACCUGUGGCUCUUAAGGAGCGUGAGAAGCUUAAUCUCACGGCCUUCCUUCCUAAGCUGGUGGUGGAGCAGUUGACCAUGAUGGAUGCGGCUCCACCCUUUACCAACCAUAAGACCUGGGCAACUUUCUGAACACCCAAGACUUUGCUGUCCACCUGCAGACCGUGGAGGUGGACAUUAAGAGGAUCUGCUACACAGAGUGACUGUGCCAACUCCAUGAGGAGCUCUUCCAGAAGGUGGUGCCCUCUCCUUGCCUGGGCUCCACCUGGGGCAAGAGGAACAAGCCGGGCAAUGAGCACCAGACACCCAACAUCCAGGCCACCGUCGACCAAGUCAGAAGGGUGGCCAGCUUCGUCAUCACGCCCUGCCUCGGGGACCCGAGCAUGACAGCCCAGGACAGGGUGAGGGUGGUGGAGCGCUGGAUCCAGGUGGCCCAGGUGUGCUGUGGGAGGCCCAGUGGAGCCCCUCUCUGAAGCCUUGGGAACUGCCUCUCCACCUUUAUCAGCUCCCAGGAUUGCAGUAUGUGGUCUAAGCCCCUGCACAGUCCCUAGGCCCUUCCUGCCAGGGGCCCGCUGACUUUAACUCCAGGUCCCAGUGAGAGGAUGCUCACUUCCUACCUGGCUCCUUCCCUGGGUUGAGCUAAAAUCCUGCUCCCUGUGAGUGUUACUCUUUGGGUCCUAAAUGUGCCCUUCUGCGACUCCCUGAGCAUCUGUCUCAUCCAGGAGGGGAGAUUUAAAUAGAAGGGUACUGAAGCUAGAGCAAGCUGGGCUACAGUGCCCCACCUCACAGCUCAUUCUCUUCCCUU